AUUGAACGCUGGCGGCAGGCCUAACACAUGCAAGUCGAACGAGUGGCGGACGGGUGAGUAAUGUCUGGGAAACUGCCUGAUGGAGGGGGAUAACUACUGGAAACGGUAGCUAAUACCGCAUACCAUCAGAUUUGCCCAGAUGGGAUUAGCUAGUUGGUGGGGUAACGGCUCACCAAGGCGACGAUCCCUAGCUGGUCGGAGAGGAUGACCAGCAACACGGGAACUGAGACACGGCCCAGACCCUUACGGGAGGCAGCGUGGGGGAAUAUGGCAAAAUGGGCGAAAGCCUGAGGCAGCCAGGCCGCGUGGAGGAAGAAGGCCUUCGGGUUGAAAAGUACUUUCAUCGGGGAGGCGUUACCCGCAGAAGAAGCACCGGCUAACUCCGUGCCAGCAGCCGCGGUAAUAC
rnacentral:rRNA from 1 species